rnacentral:rRNA from 1 species
CACGUAGGGGGCAAGCGUUGUCCGGAUUUAUUGGGCGUAAAGAGCUCGUAGGUGGUUCGGUAAGUCGGGUGUUUAAACCCCCAGGCUCAACCUGGGGACGCCACUCGAUACUGCUGUGACUAGAGUCCGGUAGGGGAGCGUGGAAUUCCUGGUGUAGCGGUGAAAUGCGCAGAUAUCAGGAGGAACACCAGCGGCGAAGGCGGCUCUCUGGGACGGUACUGACGCUGAGACGCGAAAGCGUGGGGAGCGAACAGG